CAGCUAGUUGGUGAGGUAACGGCUCACCAAGGCAACGAUCAGUAUCCGGCCUGAGAGGGCGGACGGACACACUGGGACUGAGACACGGCCCAGACUCCUACGGGAGGCAGCAGUGGGGAAUUGUUCGCAAUGGGCGCAAGCCUGACGACGCAACGCCGCGUGGAGGAUGAAGAUUUUCGGAUCGUAAACUCCUGUCGAAUGGGACGAAAAGGUCGUGGGUUAACAACCUGCGAUCCUGACGGUACCGUUAAAGGAAACCCCGGCUAACUCCGUGCCAGCAGCCGCGGUAAUACGGGGGGGGUAAGCGUUGUUCGGAAUUACUGGGCGUAAAGGGCUCGUAGGCGGCCAACUAAGUCAGACGUGAAAUCCCUCAGCUUAACUGGGGAACUGCGUCUGAUACUGGAUGGCUUGGAUUCGGGAGAGGAAUGCGGAAUUCCAGGUGUAGCGGUGAAAUGCGUAGAUAUCUGGAGGAACACCGGUGGCGAAGGCGGCAUUCUGGACCGAUAUUGACGCUGAGGAGCGAAAGCCAGGGGAGCAAACGGGAUUAGAUACCCCGGUAGUCCUGGCCC
rnacentral:rRNA from 1 species